GGGGGCGAAACGGCUUCGACGGGGAUAAAGAAGCUUAGGCUGCAUACCGAGCGCCUGUCGGCUCGUAAAAAAGACGGGAAAUAAACAUAAUCGCAGACGAUUAUAACUACGCACUGGCCGCUUAAGGCCAGCGUCCUGUCCGGUUUUUCCUGCGGAUUUGAUAAGGACGUCGACUAGCAGGAUAGAUGGAUCUUACCACCUGUUAUGAUACAUCGAAUCAAAAACAGGGUAGCUGGUUCAGGCAUCCAGCCUGAAGGAGGCCGGAAUCAGCGAUAUAUAAAUUUCAGGACAAGUAUGUAGAUGCCUGUGCGGAAGAUUUUCGGACGCGGGUUCAACUCCCGCCGCCUCCACCA
rnacentral:tmRNA from 1 species